ensembl:lncRNA
AAAAGAGUGCCAUCUCACUCUAUGCUGCAGACCACCAGCUCCCAGCAACACUGACAGCAAGUGACUGGACCUUGCUGGAGAAAAUCAACACUCUUCUGGCUCCAUUUGAAGAGAUCACAAAACAGAUCAGCUUCGCCACCUCCACCACCUCAGAGGUCAUCCCCUCAGUCAUCGUCCUGAAGCGUCUGUUGGCCAAACAGACCACGGAGGACAGCGGGAUAAAAACAAUGAAGGCGACACUUCUAGCAGCUAUGGGCACAAGAUUCCAGACCGUUGAGGCGGAGCCCUUGUACUCUGUUUCAACCAUAUUGGACCCACGUUACAAAGACAGAUACUUCACAAGUGCAGAGAGCAGCAAGCUUGCAAGAAGUGCACUGACCCAAGAGGUGGAGAAAAAUGAGGAGUCAUCACUGCAGACAACCACCACAGAGGCAGCAGACCCAGCCAGUAAGACCCCACGGAUUACAACAGAGCCCAACACAAGCAGCUGCUUUAAGGGGCUGUAUGAGGAAUUCCUGCAAGAGCAUGCUGCUGAACAAGGUGGGGCCAGCAGCCAGUUACACAGGUGCAGAUAGAGACAUAUCUGGCUGAGAAAACAAUCCACCGCACAGAGAGCCCAUUCGAGUACUGGGGAAAGAAUAAAGAACGGUUCCCCUCCCUGGCUACUACAGCUGCAAAGUUUCUCUCCGCUCCCUCCACCAGCGUAGAUAGUGAGAGGCUUUUCAGCACAGCUUCUAACAUACUUGAUGAGAAGAGGAAUAGGCUGUCAGGAGAUCAUGUAGAAACACUAAUCUUCCUCAAGAAAAAUCUGCCAAUGUACCUGAGCUUGAACCCCAAAGACUUGAAUCCUCAAAAGUAAACAAGAGUAAACACUACUAGGUGUUGUGUGACAGAUCUGUCACUGAUUAAUGCUAUUUGUUCUUACCUCAGAUACGUUAAAUUAAUGCAGCUAUCUCUCAAAUGUACCUCAUAUGUAUAUUAUUUCUUAUUUUAAUACAAUUUAACGUUCUACUUCUUACUCUUGCACUAGUUUUAUACACUAGUAUUAUGUUAUAAUUUUAUGAAAGUUGCACUAUUUUGGCAUUUGAGAGCCAAUACUCAGGGUUUUUAAGAGUUUGUAAUGUAUUUUUAAUGUAAUGUAAUUUUAAUGUAUUUUACUUUCUUACUGUUGCACUGUUCACUUCUAUUAUACAUGUUCUAAUUUCAUGAAUGUUGCACUAUGUUGGCCUUUGAGAGCCAAAAGUUUAUUCAGCUAUUGUUGUCAGCCAUACCAGGUAGGCAAUAAAAGGUUCUACUGGAUUCACUUUGUAUUAGUCUUCCUGCUUCACAAAGGUAGGCAGCAGCUUGACAAAGCCAUGAUGGCAAUGAUUUUACAUCCAAGUAGUAUGCAGCUCUUCAUAUAUACACACACACACAUCAAUUUCAAACAGAGUGGUAUCGGUAUGGUAUCGGUAUCGGCCGAUACUGCACAGCCAGGUAUCGGUAUCGGUAUCGGAGCCAAAAAAUGGCAUCGGUGCAACACUACAGGUAACACAGGUGACUGUUAGUGUCUGACUGAUAGGUCCUGGUGCCGGAUGCAGCAAGACUAGUUUACCUCCAGCCCACCUACCCACGUAUCACACUCAAGCAUGCACUCACAUAUACAUCCACACAUGCACACACUGACAUGCACACAUGAACAUACCCAUACACACAUACAUACACGUACGCACACACACACACGCACACACUACGACACGUGUGUUCUCCAUGGGUGUGAAAUUCUCCCAAAAAUGUCUCUGUGCACAAAAAAGCAUAUGCGUGUGUGUGUAUGUCUG